GAUGAACGCUGGCGGCGUGCCUAACACAUGCAAGUCGAGCGAAGCACUUUGCUUGGAUUCUUCGGAUGAAGAGGAUUGUGACUGAGCGGCGGACGGGUGAGUAACGCGUGGGUAACCUGCCUCAUACAGGGGGAUAACAGUUAGAAAUGACUGCUAAUACCGCAUAAGCGCACAGUACCGCAUGGUACGGUGUGAAAAACUCCGGUGGUAUGAGAUGGACCCGCGUCUGAUUAGCUAGUUGGUGGGGUAACGGCCCACCAAGGCGACGAUCAGUAGCCGACCUGAGAGGGUGACCGGCCACAUUGGGACUGAGACACGGCCCAG
rnacentral:rRNA from 1 species